AUUGAACGCUGGCGGCAUGCCUUACACAUGCAAGUCGAACGGCAGCACGGGCUUCGGUCUGGUGGCGAGUGGCGAACGGGUGAGUAAUGUAUCGGAACGUACCUUUCAGUGGGGGAUAACGUAGCGAAAGUUACGCUAAUACCGCAUAUUCUGUGAGCAGGAAAGCAGGGGAUCGCAAGACCUUGCGCUGAUUGAGCGGCCGAUAUCAGAUUAGCUAGUUGGUGGGGUAAAGGCCUACCAAGGCGACGAUCUGUAGCGGGUCUGAGAGGAUGAUCCGCCACACUGGAACUGGGACACGGUCCAGACUCCUACGGGAGGCAGCAGUGGGGAAUUUUGGACAAUGGGGGCAACCCUGAUCCAGCCAUGCCGCGUGAGUGAAGAAGGCCUUCGGGUUGUAAAGCUCUUUCGGCCGGGAAGAAAUCGCAUGGGUUAAUACCCUGUGUGGAUGACGGUACCGGAAUAAGAAGCACCGGCUAACUACGUGCCAGCAGCCGCGGUAA
rnacentral:rRNA from 1 species